UCCUUUUCUUCUCUCAGAUUCUGUUUUUCUCUCUCUCUUAUACAAACACACACAGCUCACACACACACAAAGUCAUUUUGUUACUAUAUAGUAGAUGGAGUACUCAUUUUAAUUCCAGGGCAUAGCCUAUUGUAUUAGUCAGGGUUUUCUAAAGGUGCAGAAGUAAUAGGAUAGAUGUGUAUAUGAAGGGGAGUUUAUAAAGGAGUGCUGACUCACACAAUCCAAGGUGAAGUCCCACAAUAGACCACCUGCAAGCUGAGGAGCAAGAAAGCCAGUCCAAGUCCAAAAAACUCAAAAGUAGGGAAGCCAACAGUGCAGCCUUCAGUUUGUGGCUGAAGGCUUGAAAGCUCCUGGCAAACCACUGGUGUAAGUCCAAGAAUCCAAAAGCUGAAGAACCUGGAGUCUGAUGUUUGAGGGCGGGAAGCAUCCAGCAUGGGAGAAAGGUAAAAGCCUGAAGACUCAGAAACUCAAGUCCUUCCACAUUCUUCUGCCUGCUUUAUUCUAGCCACACUGGCAGCUGAUUAGAUGGUGCCCACCCAGAUUGAAGGUGGGUCUGCCUCUCCUAGUCCACUGACUCAAAUGUUAAUCUCCUUUGGCAACACCCUCAUAGACACACCCAGGAACAAUAUUUUGCAUCCUUCAAUCCAAUCAAGUUGACAACUCAAUAUUAACCAUCACACCUAUUAAUAACACUGGGUGCAUGUAUCAGGCAGCACCAUGUUAACUAAAGGCUUUGCUUUAAUCCCAUAAAGUCCUCACAGUAAUUCCAGGAGCAAACAUUAUUGUUCUUUUUUCACAGAUGAGGAAAAUAAAGCCCAGAGUGUUCCAGUGAUGGGCCUCGAUUCACUCAGCUUCAAGUCGGCCAGACUCCAAUGCGCAGGCUCAAUCAGGUACUUGGUAUUUGUCUUUCUGGAUCAUGCUGGGGUAUGAUUCUCAUUGCGGACAGAAUAACAACAAGAAGACCUUGAGAAUAAGCAUCAAUUUGUGAGCCCCAAGGGCGAAGAAGCUUUCCUGAAGCAACAACAGGAACAGGAAGCAAAAAGGAUUUGAAAUGAAAUAGCAAGGG
rnacentral:lncRNA from 10 species